AUGCAGCUAAGUAACCCACCGUGUUCUCUGACCUGUGAAACCCGGAAUGAAAUGGCUGCAAACAACAAACCAACUCCAUGGUGGUGCAGAAGACUGUUACUCAUACAGAUUCUUCAGCAGAAGCUGGGAGACAACU
ensembl:snoRNA SNORA70 Small nucleolar RNA SNORA70